AGUAAUUAUCAUCUUUAAAGUCAGCUAUUUCCAACCAAAAUACCCCCCAAAGGCAAUGCUGCAACCCAGCAUUGUGAUUCAGAGAACUGGACCCAAUUUCUCCAAAUCAUACAAUUUAGGAGUCUCCCUGAGAUCUGACUGGAGGAGCUCAGGCUGAUCACACAGGAGAGCACGCUGAUGUGAAGAGAGACAAGUAUACUUUCAAGGGACUCCGAUUUGAAAUAUUGAUUCAGUCACAUUAAUUGAAUUUUUUCCUUGAGAAGUGAUUACAAAAAUGUUGCUCCAAUAUUAAUUUGUAUCUGCUUUGGAUAAGAUUAACAUUAAUUUCUUUCGCCAGUCCCCAUUACUCUUUUAUUAUUCAUUAGCAUCUCUCUUUGCAUGUGUAAGAGACCUUGAUGAAGCAUGUUUAUUCAUAGACUAACCUUUUUCAAUAAUUCUAACAGCUCUCUAACAGUAACCUUCCUGGCAUGCUGAAUAUCUUCCUUUUGUUUCAUUAUUCAGUCCUUGCUCUCCAUCCUCCACUUGAGAUGCUGAACAUGAAUCACACUGCUCUUCCUAUUGCUCUCGUCCUCCCACUGAAAUGUCCUCCGCAGUCUGAUCCCACAGGAUAGCUCUGUUCACAAAAUACUGCAGCAAAAUUGUCUCCCGGUAGAAUCAAGGGCAGCAUCCUUUCUACAAAGCGGGUAAGCCCUGGGCUCAUUUUCUAAGCAGAAAGAAUGGACAAGGCAGUGAAAGAAGGUGGCACCAAAAUAUAUACAUACAUAUACACAUAUAUGCUAUAUAGCAUUACAUGAUGAUACACACAUAAAUAAUAUGAUGAUAUCAUAUAGAUGUAUGUCUUCUUGGGGGGGGCAUCAAUCUAUCUAAAUCCUCCUUGAACUUUAAUAAAUAUAUACUCAAAUAAUGGGCAAGGAAAAAGUUUAUUUCAUUGCAUUCUGUAGGCUAGCUUUCUAGUGAAACACUAUGAGAUGGCUCAUUAAAAAUGAGGAUGGCAACAUAGGGCUGAAUCAUACUGUAUUAAGUUGUUUUAGAAUAUACCUUACAUUAUUUAUACCAAGAAAUAGUUCACCAUGUCUAGAUGGGAAUUUUGGUUUGUAAAUAUUUCCUUUUAUGGCACAGAAAACAACAGCAACAACUGUAUGCUAUGAAAGAUUUAACAGUUUUCUUUGACAAUAUUUCACCUGCUGUUUGUUUUUGUUUUUGUUUUUUAAUGGAAUUAGAAACUUAUUAAAGAUCAUUUGGUGAAUUACAGUAGAGUGAUGUCAGAUGUCUACCACUUUCCUAAUAAUCAGCCUGCGACUUAAGAAGGAAAGGAAAGAAAAUUGGGCAAAGGAGCUAAAGGAAGGAGUUUGAAAUGACGUGAAAGUGAAAUAGGUGAUGGUAACAGUAUAAUGCAAUCGUGACCAAAAAAAAAAAGGAAAA